rnacentral:misc_RNA from 1 species
AACGCACGAGACCUGCGGACCUGCGGAGGGAUCAUUACAGGACUCGCAAGACUCCUACAACCCUGUGAACUUAACUAUAAGCACGUUGCUUCGGCGGGUGUCUCGGCGAGGGUUCUCCCUCCCCGGGGCGCUAAGCCCGCCGGCAGCCUACUAUACUCUGUCUCUUUGCGUUGGCAUCUCGAGUACAAACAAACAAGUUAAAACUUUUAGCAACGGAUCUCUAGAUCGGAAGAGCACACG